rnacentral:lncRNA from 1 species
UGUAUCAAAGGGAAAAAAAGAAGCUGCAGAGGCGCCUUGACCGUCGCUGUGUACAUAUCCAUCUGUGAAUACUUG